AGUGAACGCUGGCGGUAGGCCUAACACAUGCAAGUCGAACGGCAGCACAGUAAGAGCUUGCUCUUACGGGUGGCGAGUGGCGGACGGGUGAGGAAUACAUCGGAAUCUACUUUUUCGUGGGGGAUAACGUAGGGAAACUUACGCUAAUACCGCAUACGACCUACGGGUGAAAGCAGGGGAUCUUCGGACCUUGCGCGAUUGAAUGAGCCGAUGUCGGAUUAGCUAGUUGGCGGGGUAAAGGCCCACCAAGGCGACGAUCCGUAGCUGGUCUGAGAGGAUGAUCAGCCACACUGGAACUGGGACACGGUCCAGACUCCUACGGGAGGCAGCAGUGGGGAAUAUUGGACAAUGGGCGCAAGCCUGAUCCAGCCAUACCGCGUGGGUGAAGAAGGCUUUCGGGUUGUAAAGCCCUUUUGUUGGGAAAGAAAAGCAGCAGGUUAAUACCCCGCUGUUCUGACGGUACCCAAAGAAUAAGCACCGGCUAACUUCGUG
rnacentral:rRNA from 1 species